rnacentral:tRNA from 1 species
UCCUUGAUAGCUCAGUUGGUAGAGCAAUCGGCUGUUAACCGAUCGGUCGUAGGUUCGAGUCCUACUCGAGGAGCCA